CUGAUUGCGCGGUCGCCGGAGACCUCCUCCCUGCUUCCUUCUCCGCCGGGCGCCAGAGAAGCCCCCGCCGCCGCCAGAGAAGCCCCCGCCGCCAAACAAGCCCCCGCCGCCAGAGAAGCCCCCGCCGCCAGAGAACUCCCCUGCCUGCUUGCUCCUGCCUGCUUGCUUGCCAGAGAAGCCCCCUGCUUGCUUGCUUCUUCUCUCCUGUUCUUUGCCGACUCUGCCCUGCUGCACAUCCUCUGCCCUGCUGCUUGCUUCUCUUCUCCCCUGUUCUUCGCCGACAGAGACAGAGAACUCCCCUGGUUCUUCCCCGGCAGAGAAGCAUCAUGGUGGCGGCUUUAUGGAACUGAAACACCAGCUCUACAGAAGAUGGCUACCAAGAUCCUAUCUUUAACAGCAAGUUCUUCUGGUUGUGAAAGAAAUUGGAGUGGGUUUGAUGGGGUGUACACUAAGAAGAGAAAUAGGCUUACUACAGACCGCCUCAACAAGUUGGUCUACAUUCAGUUCAACAACAGGCUAAUUAAUAAGAGAGCAAAGAUCAAGUCCAAGAAAAUUACUGAUGUUCUCUUGUCUAGUGGUACAACUAAAGCUCAAGGUUUCCUCCAAGAGAAUGGAGAUGAUUGUGCAUUAGUCUCCUUUAGAGAUGACGAAGACGAGGAAGAAGUCAUGGAAGCAGUGCUUGAGGAUUAG
rnacentral:misc_RNA from 1 species